rnacentral:tRNA from 1 species
GGAGAGGUGGCCGAGUGGUCGAAGGCGCGCCCCUGCUAAGGCAGAGUGAGAAGAGAUUAUUUCCUCUUUCUUUUCA